UUCUUUUUCUCUUUCUCUUUCUUCCUUUUUCUUCCUUUUUCUUAGAGUGCUUGGGAUAAUCCAUUUUUAAAAUUAUGUCUCGUCGGAAAGUCUACGACGAUGAUGACGUAAAGA
rnacentral:ribozyme from 1 species